rnacentral:rRNA from 1 species
GAUGAACGCUGGCGGCGUGCUUAACACAUGCAAGUCGAACGGAAAGGCCCUGCUUUUGUGGGGUUCUCGAGUGGCGAACGGGUGAGUAACACGUGAGUAACCUUCCCUUGACUUUGGGAUAACUUCAGGAAACGCGGGCUCCUACCGGAUAGGAGCCCCUGCAUCAUGGUGGGGGUUGGAAAGUAUCGGCGGUCGGGGUUGGACUCGCGGCGUAUCAGCUUGUUGGUGGGGUAGUGGCUUACCAAGCCUAUGACAGGUAGCCUGCCUGAGAGGAUGACCGGCAACGUCGCAACUGAGAUGCGGCACAGACUCGUCCGGGAGGCAGCAGUGGGGAGUAUAACAUUGUGGGAGGAAGCCUGAUGUAGUGCCGCCGCGUGCGGGAAGAGGAGCUUCGGGUUGGAAACCGCUGUCGCAUGUGAAGGAGCGAGAGUGACGGUAACGGGUAAAGAAGCACCGGCUAACUACGUG